rnacentral:rRNA from 1 species
AGCGAACGCUGGCGGCAGGCCUAACACAUGCAAGUCGAACGAAGUCUUCGGACUUAGUGGCGGACGGGUGAGUAACACGUGGGAACGUACCUUUUGGUUCGGAACAACUCAGGGAAACUUGAGCUAAUACCGGAUGAGCCCUUAGGGGGAAAGAUUUAUCGCCGAAAGAGCGGCCCGCGUUAGAUUAGCUAGUUGGGGAGGUAAAGGCUCACCAAGGCUACGAUCUAUAGCUGGUCUGAGAGGAUGAUCAGCCACACGGGGACUGAGACACGGCCCAGAAUCCUACGGGAGGCAGCAGUGGGGAAUCUUGCGCAAUGGGCGAAAGCCUGACGCAGCCAUGCCGCGUGAAUGAUGAAGGUCUUAGGAUUGUAAAAUUCUUUUACCAGGGACGAUAAUGACGGUACCUGGAGAAGAAGCCCCGGCUAACUUCGUGCCAGCAGCCGCCGUAACAC